rnacentral:rRNA from 1 species
UACGUAGGGGGCAAGCGUUGUCCGGAAUCAUUGGGCGUAAAGCGCGCGUAGGCGGCCCGGUAAGUCCGGCGUGAAAGUCAAAGGCUCAACCUUUGAAUGUCGAUGGAUACUGCCGGGCUAGAGUCCGGAAGAGGCGAGUGGAAUUCCUGGUGUAGAGGUGGAAUGCGCAGAUAUCAGGAGGAACACCAAUAGCGAAGGCAGCUCGCUGGGACGGUACUGACGCUAAGGCGCGAAAGCGUGGGGAGCGAACAGG